rnacentral:rRNA from 1 species
UACGGAGGCUGCGAGCGUUGUCCGGAAUCAAUGGGAGUAAAGGGCGCGUAGGUGGCGCAGCAAGCGUGCGGUGAAAGCUCGGGGCUCAACCCCGAGUCGGCCGUGCGAACUGCUGGGCUCGAGCACUGUAGAGGCAGGCGGAAUUCCGGGUGUAGCGGUGGAAUGCGUAGAGAUCCGGAAGAACACCGGUGGCGAAGGCGGCCUGCUGGGCAGUUGCUGACACUGAGGCGCGACAGCGUGGGGAGCAAACAGG